GUUGACCUCGGAUCAGGUAGGAAUACCCGCUGAACUUAAGCAUAUCAAUAAGCGGAGGAAAAGAAA
rnacentral:rRNA from 2 species